CCUACGGGUGGCUGCAGUAGGGAAUAUUGGUCAAUGGGUGCAAGCCUGAACCAGCCAUGCCGCGUGCAGGAAGAAGGCGUUAUGCGUUGUAAACUGCUUUUGCCAGGGGAUAAAAUAGCUUUGCGAAGCUAAUUGAAGGUACCUGGUGAAUAAGCCACGGCUAACUACGUGCCAGCAGCCGCGGUAAUACGUAGGUGGCGAGCGUUGUCCGGAUUUAUUGGGUUUAAAGGGUGCGUAGGCGGCCCUGUAAGUCAGUGCUGAAAUAUCCCGGCUUA
rnacentral:rRNA from 1 species